UUUAAGUAAAGUUUUGUCUUGAGGCAACUUUUUUAAUUAAUGAGAACGUAAAUCAUCAUAAUUGUAAAAUACUGGUCACGUAACAAUCCUCGUUGGAUGUGUGAAUAACACAAACAGUAUCGUAGGGCGUGGUUUUAUCGAAUGGCCCCCUCGAUCACCCGACAUGAAUCAGUUAGACUAUUUCAUAUGGGGUCACUUAAAAAACAUCGUUUAUAAAACACAAAACUUGCCAAUAUUUAGGAAUUAAAAAAUAGGGACUUAUAUGGACAUUUUUUAAGUAAAUUUUGUCUUGAGGCAACUUUUUUAAUUAAUGAGAACGUAAAUCAUCAUAAUUGUAAAAUACUGGUCACGUAACAAUCCUCGUUGGAUGUGUGAAUAACACAAACAGUAUCGUAGGGCGUGGUUUUAUCGAAUGGCCCCCUCGAUCACCCGACAUGAAUCAGUUAGACUAUUUCAUAUG
rnacentral:lncRNA from 1 species